AGAAACAUUUUGCACUGUGCUGGGGGAUUCUACCCACAUAAGUCAGCAUGUUACUUGCUAGAUAAAAGAGCAAUGAAUGGAGUACUUCAGUUUUAAAUGCCGCAACUCAGCAAGAAAAAAAAAGUGUCUGGUAUCUUCCUGAACAACUACCUGGUAUUAUACAGGUGAGAUAAAUUGUGAUGCCACCAAAUGUCCUAUAUAUAAACGUAUGGACAUAUACAGCUGUAUGCUCCCUUAGAGGUUUGAGCAGCAGAGCACGGAAGAAGCGAGCCACACCCCCAUCACAUGCCCUGUGAGGGGGACAAGGGAACAUUUCCUGUUUCAUCAUUAUUCUUAUUUUACAGAAGAAGCAGUAAAUGUCAUUCCCACGUCAUCCUGUAAGUAAGGUCAGAUUCCGUCUUGGUAAGUCUGGGGAAGUACUACCCUCAGAGAAGAGAAUAUGAAGAGUCCCCAUUUGGCCCAAAGAUUCUGGGACAUUUUGAUUCUGGGCUGAAAUCAAGCUGAGUUUCAGACACUUUGGGAGAUACUGGAGGAAAGCAGACUAGACUUAACUGAAAUUUUUCAAAGCUGCAUUACUUUCAGGCUCUUGAAGCUCUCUGCUUGGUGCUCCUCCCUCUGGAUUCUUUGCAGCUGAUUGGAGUACAGGAAGGACAGCUGUAGGUCCUUUGGUAAUUGAAUCUUAAGGGGAUUGACAAUAGAUGCCACUACAUCCCCCUCCAGCCACACAUUACUCCCACUAGCAAGAUACCCAUCCACAGUCCAAAUCCUGUCCUCUGCACUCUUCUCCACUGCCUCUCCUCUUCCCUGCCACAUCUAAUAUUCUUUUCAUCUUUCCUUAAUAGACGCCUAAAUACCUGACGUGUGACAGCAAAUGCCUGUUCCCAUGGAGCUGCUGCUUCUGAGAAAGCUUGAAACAGACAAAGAAUAAGGUAGAAAUGACCUCCUCACUAGAGAUGAAAAGAAGCUGUCCUGGUGAGGAAAUUGGAUCCCAGCUUUUGCCGCUAAGAUUCUUCUCUUCUGCCUCUGGUUUUCUUUAUUGUUCACCCCCAGAAGCAAUCGCUCUCUCACAAGGCAACACACGCAAUAGAGUGAACAGUGAUUCUACAGUCUGAUUCUGGAAAAGGCGACCACAGUGGAAAGAGUGAUCCACACAAGUAUAGGGCCUCCUGAUUAAAACACUAAGAUUUCAUCUCACGCUGUGCCUUUAUACUGUUGAGAUACUAAAGAGGACACUAAAGAUCAAAGUGCUACUUUACAACAUUUUGAAGAAAACAACUGCUACCUGUGUAUUAGUUUGUGCAGAUGUGUUACACAGCUUAGCUGUGUCUGUACCAGUUUAUUAGAAUCAAAGUAUUUUUAAAGUACCUAAGGCCAGGCACAGUGGCUCACACCUGUAAUCCCAGCACUUUGGGAGGCUGAGGCAAG
rnacentral:lncRNA from 1 species